ACAUUUCUCAUUCUGCGGGUAGCUGGAAAGCGGCUCAGGGAAUACGGUUCCUUCUCUUAGCUACUGCAUGAAUACAGUGAGUGGUGGCUGUCCAGGCCUCCCUGGCCGGGGGUUUGGUAAAUUAGCAGCUUGGCUGUAUAAUCAGGCAUUCGCCAUUGAGGCCACAGAGCUGUAUCCGCUAACCAGCCCUAAUCAGCCGCUCUCAUUACAAACGCUGAUUAAACUGCAAAUUAUCCAGCAGCGGCCCUGUUCCCGUCUACCAGCAGCUCGUUCAAUAUCAAUUAAGGCCGAGCGGCAAAGCCUGCAGCCUCCGAGAGCUUCCAACUGCCUGAUAGUGGCACUUAUUAGUUUGGAAAACUAGGAAAAUACUAAUAAUCAACAACCAAGGGGAAAGAGGAGGCAACCAGACAAAAGGAAGGCAGGAACGCAGCCGGAGAAAGGAGCGAGCGCGCCGCCUGCCCGCGCCCCCGCCUCCGCCCCCGCUCCUCUGGCCCCAGCAAAGACUGUUCACGGAUGGGACUGAAUCCCUUGGAGAACUCAGGAGACAACAGAAGACCUGCAAAAAUGUGUAGAGCUGGGAGCACGAGGACGGGUCCAUGAUCCACGUGAACACGGGGAGGCAGGGAAGACUUCAUGGAGGAGCCCCCCAGGACAGAGUUGUAUAUUCUAGUUACGGGUCCUUCUGGUUGUGCUACGUGGGAUGCCGCCUCAGCAUGGCCUGAUGAACGGUGUUCUGUUUGCACCCAGGAUCCAAACCGGUGAAACCCGGGGCCGCCAAAUUGGAGUGCGUGAACUCAACCACUCGAUCACAGGACCGGCCCCUUAACCCCAAACUUAAUUCUACCCUUCUUUCUUGCCUUUUCUCAGUUCAUUCCUGUUCUCCAUUCUCAUUCAGCUCCUACCUUUAUAUAAAUUCAUCUGUGUUGUUCACUGUUAUUUGUCUUUGUAGCCUUAUAUUCAUUUCCAAUUGGUUGCAAAAGCAAAAAUAGCGAUAAUGAAAGUCUAAAGGGCAAAGCAAGCGUCCAACUCAAGUAGUUGCUAGCUGCUGGCAACUGGUAGUUUGGUUUUUUACCCUGAAGCUUCCUUUUCUCCUUUUGAGUAUUUCACAAAGUAUUCAGGUAGCCUGCUCCAAUCAUUUUGUAACUGAGAGAUACAUUAUGGUCUAGAGAGACAAUGUGUCCUGAACAUUCUCUCCCACUAAUUUUUUUUUCCUGUUAGAACUGUUAACGUGUGGCUGCUUGAUUUGUGUGAUAUUCAGCCAAACUUCACUAACCAUUUUCAAAGCAGUGCUUGUAAAACAUUCAUUUUUUUUGUCUUUACUUAUGGAAAUUAACUUUUAUAAAGCAAAGAAAGCAAAAUUUCAUCGUGUGUAAUAGUGCAAACAAAUUUAAAUUAUAUAUCAGUCCUGUAGGCAUUAAUUUUUAUUUACUGUGUUAAACAAUAUUGCAUUUCAAAUGUUUAUUCUCCAAUGAUUUGGUGAAGACAAAUUCUCAUUUUUUAAAUAAAGAAUUGAAUAUGCUAAUAAACCCUUUUCUGUAA
ensembl:lncRNA